rnacentral:rRNA from 1 species
UGAACGCUGGCGGCGUAGCUUAACACAUGCAAGUCGAACGGAGUUUUAACGGAAGUUUCGGAUGGAAGUUAGAACUAGUGGCGGACGGGUGAGUAACGCGUGGUAACCUGCCUCAUACAGGGGGAUAACAGUUAGAAUGACUGCUAACACCGCAUAAUAUAGCGAAACCGCAUGAUUUUGCUAUCAAAUAGUUUAUAGGUAUGAGAUGGGCCCGCGUCUGAUUAGCUAGUUGGUGGGGUAAAGCCUACCAAGGCGACGAUCAGUCGCCGGCUUGAGAGAGUGACCGGCCACAUUGGGACUGAGACACGGCCCAAACUCCUACGGGAGGCAGCAGUGGGGAAUAUUGGACAAUGGGGGAAACCCUGAUCCAGCGACGCCCGCGUGAGUGAAGAAGUAUUUCGGUAUGUAAAGCUCUAUCAGCAGGGAAGAUAAUGACAGUACCUGACUAAGAAGCCCCGGCUAACUACGUGCCAGCAGCUGC